ensembl:snoRNA SNORD15 Small nucleolar RNA SNORD15
CUUCAGUGAUGACACGAUGACGAGUCAGAAAGGUCACAUUCUGCUCUUGGUCCUUGUCAGUGCCACGUUCUGUGGUGCUGUGCAUGGGUUCCUUUUGCAAAAGUGUCCUGUUUAUUGAUUGAUUUAGAGGCAUUUGUCUGAGAAGG